rnacentral:rRNA from 1 species
UACGGAGGGUGCAAGCGUUAUCCGGAUUCACUGGGUUUAAAGGGUGCGUAGGCGGGUAAGUAAGUCCGGGGUGAAAUCUCUGAGCUUAACUCAGAAACUGCCGUGGAUACUAUUUGCCUUGAAUAUUGUGGAGGUGAGCGGAAUAUGUCAUGUAGCGGUGAAAUGCUUAGAUAUGACAUAGAACACCAAUUGCGAAGGCAGCUCACUACACAAUGAUUGACGCUGAGGCACGAAAGCGUGGGGAGCAAACAGG